AGAGUUUGAUCCUGGCUCAGGACGAACGCUGGCGGCGUGCUUAACACAUGCAAGUCGAACGGAAAGGCCCCCACCUUGGUGGGGGUGCUCGAGUGGCGAACGGGUGAGUAACACGUGGGUGAUCUGCCCUGUACUUCGGGAUAAGCUUGGGAAACUGGGUCUAAUACCGGAUAGGACCAUGGUUUAGUGUCUCAUGGUGGAAAAAUUAUUGUUUUGGUGCAGGAUGAGCUCGCGGCCUAUCAGCUUGUUGGUGGGGUAAUGGCCUACCAAGGCGUCGACGGGUAGCCGGCCUGAGAGGGUGGACGGCCACAUUGGGACUGAGAUACGGCCCAGACUCCUACGGGAGGCAGCAGUGGGGAAUAUUGCACAAUGGGCGCAAGCCUGAUGCAGCGACGCCGCGUGGGGGAUGACGGCCUUCGGGUUGUAAACUCCUUUCGUUAGGGACGAAGCCACACCUUUUUUGGGUGUGGUGACGGUACCUUUGUUAAGAAGCACCGGCUAACUACGUGCCAGCAGCCGCGGUAAUACGUAGGGUGCGAGCGUUGUCCGGAAUUACUGGGCGUAAAGAGCUCGUAGGUGGUUUGUUGCGUCGUCUGUGAAAUUCCGGGGCUUAACUUCGGGGUGGCAGGCGAUACGGGCAUAACUAGAGUGCUGUAGGGGAGACUGGAAUUCCUGGUGUAGCGGUGGAAUGCGCAGAUAUCAGGAGGAACACCGAUGGCGAAGGCAGGUCUCUGGGCAGUAACUGACGCUGAGGAGCGAAAGCAUGGGGAGCGAACAGGAUUAGAUACCCUGGUAGUCCAUGCUGUAAACGGUGGGCGUUAGGUGUGGGGACCGGUUUGGUUUCUGUGCCGUAGCUAACGCAUUAAGCGCCCCGCCUGGGGAGUACGGCCGCAAGGCUAAAACUCAAAGGAAUUGACGGGGGCCCGCACAAGCGGCGGAGCAUGUGGAUUAAUUCGAUGCAACGCGAAGAACCUUACCUGGGUUUGACAUGCACCAGACGGUUGUAGAGAUACGUACCUCCCUUUGUGGUUGGUGUGCAGGUGGUGCAUGGUUGUCGUCAGCUCGUGUCGUGAGAUGUUGGGUUAAGUCCCGCAACGAGCGCAACCCUUGUCUUAUGUUGCCAGCACUUUGGGUGGGGACUCAUGAGAGACUGCCGGGGUUAACUCGGAGGAAGGUGGGGAUGACGUCAAAUCAUCAUGCCCUUUAUGCCCAGGGCUUCACACAUGCUACAAUGGUUAGUACAACGCGCGGCAAACCUGUGAGGGUGAGCGAAUCGCUGAAAGCUAAUCUCAGUUCGGAUUGGGGUCUGCAACUCGACCCCAUGAAGUCGGAGUCGCUAGUAAUCGCAGAUCAGCAAUGCUGCGGUGAAUACGUUCCCGGGCCUUGUACACACCGCCCGUCACGUCAUGAAAGUUGGUAACACCCGAAGCCCAUGGCCUAACCACCGUUUGGUGGGGGGAGUGGUCGAAGGUGGGAUUGGCGAUUGGGACGAAGUCGUAACAAGGUAGCCGUACCGGAAGGUGCGGCUGGAUCACCU
rnacentral:rRNA from 1 species